ACAAAAUUUUGUGAGCUACACUCCAUUUGGCCUGUCUGAUUUUUUUUUAUUUUUAAAUUUCCAAAUUCAUGUGAUUUUUCGUUUCGUGUUCUAUUGACAAUAUAGUGUUUUAUCAUGCCUGGAAAAAAGCGAAGCUCUUCGAAGAAACGGACUAGUUCCGCUGCCAAAGAGGGGGAAGCUAGUGCCGCUACGGCUCCCGAAGUUUCAUUGGCAGCUUCACCCAAAUUGUCCGAAAUGACCGAGGCGAAGAAGAGCCGUACCAAGAGCAAGACGAAGACCAAGAACAAAAAGGAAUAGACUCAAUCCGACAAUCACCAGGACAAAUGAUAAGCACCAAUUAUAUUGAAACAGAUGCAUAGCAGCUCUAUGGACACCAAAAUCAGCUCAGAAAAAAUAACAGCACGAUAUAUGGAAAAACCUAGAACAAGAAAUUUGAUUAUUGAAAGCGUAAAUGCUCUCCUCGAGAGCUGGCUUUAUCAAAAAUAAUAUUAAGACAUUCUGGCCAGAAAGAGGUCGCCUAUAUCAAGGGAAGCCUUAAGCAUUAACGGUAAAACCAACAGAACAAGACACUGAAACAGUAUAUAUAUUUGACCAACAUAGAAUAUCGGAUCACAAUAUGCGUAUUGAGUAGAACCCUUCAAGCAUAUGACGAAACACUAGAAGAAAUUUAACAUUGGAAAAAGUAGAUCUGAACUCACAUUAAAAAUAUAACCGGCAAUCCACAAACCGUUACCGUC
rnacentral:sRNA from 1 species